rnacentral:misc_RNA from 1 species
AACAUCGCGCACCUGCGGGAACCUGCGGAAGGAUCAUUACAGAGUUGCAAAACUCCCUAAACCAUUGUGAACGUUACCUAAACCGUUGCUUCGGCGGGCGGCCCGGGUCCUUCCCGGCGCCCAUCGGCCCUCGCGGGCGCCCGCCGGAGGUAAACCAAACUAUUGCAUUGUAUGGCCUCUCUGAGUCUUCUGUACUGAAUAAGUCAGAACUUUCAACAACGGAUCUCAGAUCGGAAGAGC